GUGAGGAAUUUUCCGCAAUGGGCGAAAGCCUGACGGAGCAAUGCCGCGUGAAGGAUGAAGGCCUAUGGGUUGUAAACUUCUUUUCUCAGAAAAGAAUUAUGACGGUAUCUGAGGAAUAAGCAUCGGCUAACUCUGUGCCAGCAGCCGCGGUAAGACAGAGGAUGCAAGCGUUAUCCGGAAUGAUUGGGCGUAAAGCGUCUGUAGGUUGUUUAAAAAGUAUUCUGUCAAAGAUUAGGGCUUAACCCUAGAUAGGCAGAAUAAACUUUUAAGCUAGAGUUUGGUAGAGGCAGAAGGAAUUCCCGGUGGAGCGGUGAUAUGCGUAGAUAUCGGGAGGAACACCAAAGGCGAAGGCACUCUGCUGGGCCAAUACUAACACUGAGAGACGAAAGCGAGGGGAGCAAAUGGGAUUAGAUACCCCGGUAGUCC
rnacentral:rRNA from 1 species